AGGAUAAACGCUGGCGGCGUGCCUAAUGCAUGCAAGUCGAACGGGAGGCACUUCGGUGCUCGACCGUGGCGGACGGGUGAGGAACACGUAGCUAACCUGCCGAUGUGUGGGGGAUAACAGUCGGAAACGGCUGCUAAGACCGCAUACGCUCAUCGUGGGGGACCGGGAUGAGGAAAGCGCGCAAGCGCGCACAUUGAGGGGGCUGCGGCCGAUUAGCUUGUUGGUGGGUAACGGCCUACCAAGGCAGUGAUCGGUAGCUGGUCUGAGAGGACGAUCAGCCACACGGGGACUGAGACACGGCCCCGACUCCUACGGAGGCAGCAGCAAGGAAUUUCACAAUGGCGCAAGCCUGAUGGAGCAACGCGCGUGGGGAUGACGCAUCUCGGUGUGUAAACCCCGUUUUCCGAGGACGAAGCAAGUGACGUACCGUCGGAAGAAGGCCCGCGUAACUACGUCGCCAGCAGCCGC
rnacentral:rRNA from 1 species